GCCAUCAUUUAAAGAAAGCGUAAUAGCUCACUGGUCGAGUCGGCCUGCGCGGAAGAUGUAACGGGGCUAAACCAUGCACCGAAGCUGCGGCAGCGACAUUUAGGUGUUGUUGGGUAGGGGAGCGUUCUGUAAGCCGGAGAAGGUGAACUGUGAGGUUUGCUGGAGGUAUCAGAAGUGCGAAUGCUGACAUAAGUAACGAUAAAGCGGGUGAAAAACCCGCUCGCCGGAAGACCAAGGGUUCCUGUCCAACGUUAAUCGGGGCAGGGUGAGUCGACCCCUAAGGCGAGGCCGAAAGGCGUAGUCGAUGGGAAACGGGUUAAUAUUCCCGUACUCGGUGUGGCUGCGAAGGGGGGACGGAGAAGGCUAUGUCAUCCGGGCGACGGUCGUCCCGGUUUAAGCGUGUAGGCUGGCAUCCCAGGGAAAUCCGGGGUGCUUUAAGGCUGAGGCGUGAUGACGAGGCACUAUGGUGCUGAAGUGACAGAUGCCCUGCUUCCAGGAAAAGCCUCUAAGCAUCAGGUCACAUUGAAUCGUACCCCAAACCGACACAGGUGGUCAGGUAGAGAAUACUCAGGCGCUUGAGAGAACUCGGGUGAAGGAACUAGGCAAAAUGGUGCCGUAACUUCGGGAGAAGGCACGCUGGCGUUAGGUGAAGGGACAUGCGCCCGGAGCCGAGGCCAGUCGCAGAUACCAGCUGGCUGCAACUGUUUAAUAAAAACACAGCACUGUGCAAACACGAAAGUGGACGUAUACGGUGUGACGCCUGCCCGGUGCUGGAAGGUUAAUUGAUGGGGUUAGCCGCAAGGCGAAGCUCUUGAUCGAAGCCCCAGUAAACGGCGGC
rnacentral:rRNA from 1 species